rnacentral:lncRNA from 13 species
UCACCAGACAUAUAAAAGAACAAACCAUUUUGAGAAUCUAGCCUGAUCAAACAUUCUGUUUACUUCGACCUCAUAAAACUUUGGUCUACAAACAGAUGAAAGAAGCCCAGAAGAACCAACCCAGCCGGACCACCAAUUUUGUCAAAUCAAAAAAUCAUCAGACAUUAUCUUAUAUUUUUGUAUCUUGCCAUUAAACUUUGUAGUUGUUUGUUAAACAUAAAUAGAUUUAGAGGAAGAUUCUAAGAUGGCCAAAUAAGAGGCAGCUCCGGAAAGCAGCUCCCAGCGAGAGAGACUCAGAAGCCAAGUGGUCUCCAGAAUUCCAAACGAGUCUUGACUUCCUCAGUUCCCUGCAGUGUAUUCCUCAAAAACGAACCUCAGAAAAUCCUCUGUUAUGAUUUCUAUCUCAGAUUUUGCUUCUGGAGACACAUUUCAAGACAGCCUCUACAAAGGCUUCACAGAACAAGAAGACAUGAAGAAGGAGGAUGGACAGGGUGCUACUUUCUGUUCACCAGCUGCACUCUACUUACUACAGACCUGCCUAUGCUGGAUGUUAUUGAGACAAAUGGCUAAUGAGUAUGGAGCCACAGCAUUAACCUCCAGUGCCUACAUAAGCCAUAAGAUGAGUAAGGAAACAGAAAUGAAACAGCAAGAAAAAAAAAAGGAAAAAGAGAAGAAUUGAGGCUGGAAACACCAUGGCUUAUAUGAAGAAGAGAAAUAAUGCCAGAAUAUAUGAAGUAUGGCAAAUGGUGUAAAUAAGAGGAGGCUGCAGGGGGAGAGUAGAUCAAAAUACUAUAAAAUUUCACCAGUAAGCAAGAUUAGCCUGUUAUCCUAAUAAAGAUGGAAAGCCAACGAACA